AAAAACUCCGGUGGUGUAAGAUGGACCCGCGUCUGAUUAGCUUGUUGGCGGGGUAACGGCCCACCAAGGCGACGAUCAGUAGCCGGCCUGAGAGGGCGGACGGCCACAUUGGGACUGAGACACGGCCCAGACUCCUACGGGAGGCAGCAGUGGGGAAUAUUGCACAAUGGGGGAAACCCUGAUGCAGCGACGCCGCGUGAGUGAAGAAGUAAUUCGUUACGUAAAGCUCUAUCAGCAGGGAAGAAAUACUGACCUUACGGUCAGCAGACGGUACCUGAGUAAGAAGCCCCGGCUAACUACGUGCCAGCAGCCGCGGUAAUACGUAGGGGGCAAGCGUUAUCCGGAUUUACUGGGUGUAAAGGGAGCGUAGACGGUGCGCCAAGUCUGGAGUGAAAUGCCGCAGCUUAACUGCGGAACUGCUUUGGAAACUGGCGAACUAGAGUGCGGGAGGGGUAAGCGGAAUUCCUAGUGUAGCGGUGAAAUGCGUAGAUAUUAGGAGGAACACCGGUGGCGAAGGCGGCUUACUGGACCGUAACUGACGUUGAGGCUCGAAAGCGUGGGGAGCAAACAGGAUUCGAUACCCUGGUAGUCCACGCCGUAAACGAUGAUUACUAGGUGUCGGGGACCCAAGGGUCUCCG
rnacentral:rRNA from 1 species